rnacentral:rRNA from 1 species
CAGCCGCCGCGGGAAUACGUAGGUCCCGAGCGUUGUCCGGAUUUAUUGGGCGUAAAGGGAGCGCAGGCGGUUUAGUAAGUCUGAAGUUAAAGGCAUUGGCUCAACCAAUGUAUGCUUUGGAAACUGUUAGACUUGAGUGCAGAAGGGGAGAGUGGAAUUCCAUGUGUAGCGGUGAAAUGCGUAGAUAUAUGGAGGAACACCGGUGGCGAAAGCGGCUCUCUGGUCUGUCACUGACGCUGAGGCUCGAAAGCGUGGGUAGCGAACAGGAUUAGAGACCCCGGUAGUCCCUGUCUCUUAUACA